rnacentral:rRNA from 1 species
UACAGAGGUCUCAAGCGUUGUUCGGAUUCAUUGGGCGUAAAGGGUGCGUAGGUGGCGCGCUAAGUCAGGUGUGAAAUUUCGGAGCUUAACUCCGAAACUGCAUUUGAUACUGGCGUGCUUGAGGACUGGAGAGGAGACUGGAAUUCAUGGUGUAGCAGUGAAAUGCGUAGAGAUCAUGAGGAAGACCAGUGGCGAAGGCGGGUCUCUGGACAGUUCCUGACACUGGAGGCAACGGAAGGCCCAGGGGGAGCAAACGGG